UUGUUUAUCGCUCUUACCUCACUUCUACGAAGAAGUUCCCAAGCCCUCUCGGUAAACACGGUCGACAUUCACACGACGGUACGCGGGUCGCGGUAAACAAUCUCUUUUGAACUGUGAAUACAUACGAAGACGCAUGUAUAGUGUAUACGCAUUUGGCGAGCACGUGGCACGAGUUAUCUCGAAACAGUCGAAUCUACGCGCGACAUGAUGGACGUAUGGUUGACUAUAUUUUUCUAUUGUACAGGUGCGAAUGUUCGAUGAGUGUAAUUUAAAUUCGAUAGUUCCGGAACAAACUUUAGAAUUCAUCGAUCGAGCACGCUUCGGUUCUAUCGAUUCGAUCAUGGGAAUUCCUUUCAAUCCAUACGCGAGAACGCAUCGUGUUGCCGAUAUUCUCGCUUCGUGGCCACUAUUCAAUACGAACUAACGUGGAUGAAACGUACGUAACUAUCGCUCGAUAUGUAGGUUAUAACGUUACUUUUGCAAUUGGAUAAUUGUAUUCAUUGCGACUUAAAUUGUUAGCGACAGCUUUGUAUUCGGCGUUUUUUAGGCUCGUGAAAUGUUAGUCGGCAAGGCUGCCAAGCGUAAAUAAACGCGUCAGAGACAAUAGCCAUUGUGGAACGAAUCAGUCGUGGAAAUGGAUCGUUCGGAUUGGUAUAUAACGUUUUCUCUUCGUGUAUGUUAGUGUUCGAACGCCGAAGUUACGAUUGAUCAACGUUAAAUCAGAAUGCAGAGGGAGUGGUAAUGGCGGACGAAUUUUUAGUCGCGCGUAUCUACCGUGCUGUUCGGGUAUACACCAUUUAUUAGUAGCAAUUGAAUAAAUUACGUUCCAUUCACCAUAGUCCCCUCGUUCGUGUAUUUCAUGCAUCGUCUCUCGACCUCAUCCCAUUCAUGACAAAAUAUCUUUUUACGCUAAUAAUAUCUCGCGUAGAAUAAUUUUUUAUAUGAUCUCUUCCCUCGCGCGAACGGAUUAACCGAAUCAACCAUGAUUUCGUGCAACUCCGAGAAAUACCAGAUAACGUCCCGUUAUUCCGGUCGUAGGAUACAUUGUCCAUGAAAUAUUUUUCCGCAGUGAAUUGCGUACGAUAUUGACGAUACGUACACAAUGUAGAAUUAUUAUGGUUAAAGGGUUUGGUGUUGCGCGUUUGAAAAUUCAGUACGUUAGUCAGAAACGAGAUGCAAGCUUUCGUAUCCGCGAUAAAUUUUUGGUUUCGUAAUACCAAUAAUUUUAACUUGUGCUCGUAUAUGUACCUUUCUUUCUUUUUGUUCUCCUUCUUUCUCGUAUGCAUAUGUUCGGGGUGCGGUCAAAAAUAUUUUACAAUGAUAAACAGAAAAUGAUUUCUUACGCAGAGAUAAACAAAGGAGGGAAGAAGACAUUUUGGUAUAUAUAAACGACUGCGCAGCGAGGUAUUCGCUAAAUAUUUAAUAUUCGGAUCGUUCCCAAAAGCCGGAAGUCAUUGCAGUUUAAUCGAAUAAGCGAAUCGAUCAGAGAGACAGUUGAAUGAAACGGCACAAAGAAUACACGCGUAUCUCAAUAUCGUGCAUUCGUGCUCGCAUUAUGAGAAUAGAUAUGGGAGAGCAGAACCUCUGUAGCAGACUUGUUUGAUUCUGUUUACUAAGAUUUGAGUAAAAAGAAAGGACCUACACGGUUGUAGGUGCGAAAAUAAAUUACGAAGUGUUUCUUAAUGAAACUUUUGCAGUAGACAGUGCUGCGGUAAUUUUUCAAGCCUGUCUCAUUGUCUCAUACUUGUCCUGUUCGCCAUGGGAAGAGGAUGAGCAAGGACUAAAACGUGAAGAAUGAAAAAUGUUUAUGUUCUCCAGUAAAAACCGAGCGUAAAAUUAAAACUUGCUAAUAAAAUCAGUGAUAGCUGUGACGAAGUAGUCAGUGUUAUUAGAUGUUCCUUAUUUAUUUAAUUAUCGGUUAUUUAAUUCUAUACAAAUAUCAAAGAAUUAUUUUUAUUGUGGUAUUUUUAAAAAAUUCUAAAAAAGCAAUUCUUAAAUCCUAUGAAUAGAAAUGCAACAGUAAUUAAUAAUGUUUUCCAGGUAUCUACAUAUUCCGCGGUUUUCAAGUUGUUCCAGUUGCACGAUAUAACGCAACCCUAAGCUUAAAUCAAUUCGUGACAUUUUUCAACAAGAUUAGUUAAUUCUAAGGAUACCUCAGUAUCAGUUUACUUGGAGCUGUUACAAACUAUUAAGAGAAUGUAAUUAAGCUGAGAAUGUAGAUAAUGCCGCGUAUAUUAAACUUGGGAUAGUUGAAAUAUCCUACCAUCAGCGUUUAACCACGGCCUCGGGUUUCGUUGCGAUGAAUGGCAGCAUAAGAAAUAGUAAAGUUUUACGCUAUUCUCCCGAUUUCUUUUGUGACAACUCGGUAAAAUAACGCGUAUAUGCUCCGGAAUUAUGAGUGUCGACGUAGUACAAACCAGUACAGGGACCCUUCGAACAAACGCGUGAUUGGCUACUUUUGCGAUACCAGAAACCAUUACGGCAGAACUUUAUUUAUCUCGAGCUACUAUCAGGGAACAAAUAAUUCAUACAACCGAAGUUAAUAUUGGAGGAAUUUAUCGAUCCUGCUUUCUACCUAUGACACGGUUGCACUAAUGAUACAAUAUAGUUUGUGCAAAAGUAACUUAGGAAAUAUCUGCUACAUGUCCAAUUGUCAGCUGUUCUUAUAAGGAAAUAUGAAAUCGCACAGUGGUUAUAAAGUGUGGUUAUAACAAAAUAGAAGAAAAAUCAGUAUUUAAUUGAAGAACGAAAAGUAAAUUCGAUUCACAUGUUGAAGUCAUGAAAAUGCCAAUUCGAAAUGGUCAUGCAAAAAUCUCGCAAAAUAAAGUUGAAAAAACAAUUACAACGUUCGAAGAAGAGAAAUUAUUUGCACAAUCAAUUCCGUACAUCGAUAUAAUAUGUAGCAUUUAAGUUAAAUUAAUAUCUAUGAGCGAACAUAGCGAACAUCAAGAUGUUUGGUGAACUAUAAAUAUGUACAACAUAUUUCUAUUCGUAAAAUGACACUUAUCCAAGAGAAUAUAUCGUAAAAUGUAAUUGAAGCCUGCGAUGAUAGUAGCCAUAAAGAAAUUUAACGAUCAAUAAAAAAUCUGUGUAGAAUUAAAAGAAUAUUUAAUAUUUACUAACAGAGAGCUAUACUAAUUUAGAAAUUGAUCUGGAAGUCAGAGACGUUGGUAGGAUUUAAAUCUCAGCACGACUAAACAUAAGUACUCCACUCGUCUUCCUUUACGAUCACAUUUCUUUUCCUCGGACAAUGGGUUUCGUGCAAAUGAAACGACAUUCGAGACAUUAACGUCGCGGCUAAAUGGUAGAAAUCAAGGGAAAUCGUGGUGGCGAGGAGGAAACCGGAACGAAUGCGAUCACGGGAACGUAACGUACCAUGGUAAAUAAGUAAUGUCGCGGGGGAAAGUGCACCGAUAGAGUAUCAGGUCGAAGGGAAGGAAGGAAUGAAAGAACUGGUCGGACAACGCGCCACGGAGCAACUUGUAACGAUAACCGGCUGCUUCGGUAAAGAAUACAAAUUGUUCUAUUAUCUCCACGAACAAAGAAUCACGUUGUAAAAGAUUCGAAUCUGGAACAAGUCUUAUCAAAAAUAAAACCAACCGGCCGGCUUCAAAGGGAUAGUGGUAGGUAAGGAACGGAAUGAAAGAAUGGCGCUAUAUCGACUCGCGGUAAGCAUUCAAGAUAUUGAUAUCCUCGCAGUUGUAUACGCUUGGGAAAUAGAAUUUGUGUUGGUAAAACUCGACUGUAGGCUAUUUAUUAUUUAGAUCGUAAUAUGAUAAAGUUAAUUAAAUGAUAACUGUCUUUUUAUCUCUCAU